rfam:Asian citrus Psyllid, Diaphorina citri - Florida Strain, whole genome shotgun sequence.
GCCUAGUUAGCUUGGUCGGUGGCGCGUCUGCCUUGUAAGCGCUAGGCCGCGGGUUCGAUUCCCGCCCGGGGCG